GCGCACCAGUCGCGAAUACUUUACAAUGUGCGAAAGCACGAUAAGGGAACUCUGAGUGCCUCCUAAGGAGGCUGUUCAGGUGUCUAAAAGCACCUGGAGUAAGGGCUGGGUAAGACCGGUGCCAGCCGCCGCGGUAACACCGGCAGCCCAGGUGGUAGCCACUUUUAUUGGGUCUAAAGCGUCCGUAGCCGGGUUGAGUAAGUUCCUUGGGAAAUUUGGCUGCUCAACAGUCAAGCUUCCAGGGGAAUACUGCUCGACUUGGGACUGGGAGAGGUCAGAGGUACUCCAGGGGUAGGGGUGAAAUCCGAUUAAUCCCUGGGGGGACCACCGGUAGCGAAGGCGUCUGACCAGACCAGGUCCGACGGUGAGGGACGAAGGCUAGGGGUCGCGAACCCGGGAUUAGAUACCCCCCGUAGU
rnacentral:rRNA from 1 species